AGUCAGGCACACCUGGCUGUUGCCAGGUAACUGUGGGGCGGAGCUUAGAAGAAAUGCCUACAGCCUUGGCAGAUGGAAUACAUGAAUGAGCUGUAAAGACUACUCCAGAAGCAGGAACACAGCUAGCCUGGGAGCAGCAGAGAGAAAGAGAGAGACUCAAAUGCUGUCAGGAAAUGGAGGCCCUCUUCAAGCCGCCAGCUAUGUCAGUCAUACUGCAAGUGCGUCUGCCAGCCUCGGCAUGUCUGCUAGCCAAAGGUCCUCCCUGGACACAAGGCUUAUUGAAUCCAUCAGAAUCACCCUGUGGGAGUCUCAGGCUUAGGAACCUGAGAGAUGUCUCUCUGCCAAAAGCCCUCCUGACACUAUCCCUGUAUGUGAAUGUGUACUGUCUUUUGAAAUUUUUUCAUUUAGCUUUAUGUCUAUGAAUGUUUUUCCAGCAUAUGUAGUACUACCUGAAGAGGGCGCCAGUUCCCCUCCCCGCCCCAACCCCACCCCCGGAACUGCGAGUUGUAUUGUGAGCUGCUACGGGAGAGCUGGGAGCCCAAUCCAGGUCCUCCGCAGAAGCACCUGGUCCUCCGCAGGAGCAACCAGUGCUCCUCACUGCCAAACCAUCUCAUCAGCCCCCAAGACCUCCCUCCCCUCCGAUCAUGUUCAACUGGAACUGAUCCUCAGGUGAUCUUAACAAAGAGACUUCUCCAUUCUCUUCUGGCUGACAGCUGUUGACUAAAACGGGAAGUAAAAACCCACGGGAGUAAGGUGACGCCUGUGAGGUGGCUCAGCUUGACGUUGAACUCACAUCUUAUACCACAGUCCUGUCUCCUGGUUGGUUUCUCGAUGUAUCCAGGAAGAGGUUAUUCAAAAAGAUCCCUACCCUCCCGCCCCACCCCCCAUUAGUCAAUCAAAUAUACUACAAGCACUGGCGCCCUCACAAGAACUUGGCGGUUCUCGUUUAAUUAAUAACCGUUUCCUCAAUUCCGUUACUUCCUGGUCUUUCCCCCACCGCCCCACCCCCACCCCCUGGAGUCUUGGGAAGCUGUCUUCCCUCCCUCCCUGGCUGUUCCUGCUUCACAGCCUCCACAGGUCCCCUUGAGAGACCUCACCUGUCUCCCUGAUGGCGGUAGACUCUCAAGUGCAGCUGCAUUGCAGAACUUCAUCGUCUAGUUCUCCACCCUGGUCUAGAACUCUAGGUGGCAGUCGCCAAGCCUCUUCCCUCAGGAAUGAAGGACUGGAAGCAAAGAGUCAGGAAGUGGACAGACAGCUGGGUACACACAGAGUCCAGACGAGGGUACCUGAUCAUCUGGAGCUGAAGUUUCAGGCAUUGUGAGUUGCCCUGUGGGUGCUGGAAACUGACCUUCAGUCCUCGGCAAAAGCAGGGAGCAGAAUUAAUGUUGAACCAUCUCUACAGCCUCCAUUAAGCCAACUUUAUAUACAGAAUGACCUGCAUGAAUCACUCAGGAAUACUCAGGAAUGUAAUUUUAGAAUUGGAAAGAUGGGCCCGUGGUUAUGAGUGCCUGCUACUAUUUCAGAGGACCGGAGUUCAGUUUCCCAGGACCCAUAUUGGUUCACAAGCACCUGUGAGCUCCAGGAGGUCUGAGAUCCUCUCCUGGCCCCUUUAAGGCACACCCCAAAAUAAAAUAACCCUUUAAAAAUGAUAAA